rfam:Mesocricetus auratus contig010881, whole genome shotgun sequence.
GGGUGUGAGGACAAUCUGACUGUGAUAACUGUCACCACAUUGAUCACUAGGCUUGAUGUGACUAAUCUGGCUGGCUAUUUAAUUGUUCCCUUCCUCCCCAAGCUGUGCAGUGGGUGGAAGAGAAUGACCUUCCCCAAAUAGAAGAGGAACAGUGUUCAGUCAAGGGUGUACCAGGAACUGGGAUCCCCUGUUAAAACAUUCCAGACAAGCCCCAACACGACAUCCCCACAUUCCCUAUAUAAAAAUUUUAGCAAGCUAGUAGAAAAAAAUAAAUCAAUUACCUAACGUAAUUAUAUUAUUCUUCAUAGUGGUUUCCUCCUGA